UGAUGUUGAUGUUGAAGAUGAUAUUGAGAUGAAAUGUGGAUGAUGUUGAAAAUGCAUUGUGAUGAUGUAUGCUGUGUAUAUACAUGGGAGGUGCAUUGACCUUGUUGGAUGUCCCUGGUGGGGGAAAUAGAGUGGUUAAAGAGUUUUAAGCAUCUCUGGAGGGGGAUGACUUAAAAUCUUUAAUUAUCCAUGGUCAUGCAUUUGAUGAUGUCCAUGUUUCAUACUUCAUAUGACAUGAAAAUAGUAUAAACUUUGUCAGUAAGUACUUGUAGUUUUUCGUGAGGAGGAAUACUUGUACUAGGGG
rnacentral:lncRNA from 1 species